CAUUCGCGGCGACUACGACGACGACGACGACGACGACGACGAUCACGAAGCGACGACGACGACGACGACAACGCGUCGAGUUUGCCUUUUAAAUGCAACCGUGCUAAUUCCGCAUGUAUGCAUCUUUACGACGACGCUGCGACGAUGACGAUAUUAUUAGUAUUAUUUGUGUGUAUAACGUCCGGUAGUAGUGCGGUAACACGUUCGUCCAGUUAAUAAUAAAAACUUAGUAAUAGUAUAAUAGCAAUUAAAAAG